GGUUGCGUGGUAUAAUGGUAUGAGCGCAUCGGGGAGUGUCUGAAGCAAGCGGCUCCCGUGAUGAGAUGGCGGUUCGAGUCCGCCCGCGACCU
rnacentral:tRNA from 1 species